UACGUAGGGGGCAAGCGUUGUCCGGAUUUAUUGGGCGUAAAGAGCGUGUAGGCGGCCAAACAGGUCAGCUGUGAAAACUCGAGGCUCAACCUCGAGACGUCGGUUGAAACCGUUUGGCUAGAGUCCGGAAGAGGAGAGUGGAAUUCCCGGUGUAGCGGUGAAAUGCGCAGAGAUCGGGAAGAACACCAGUGGCGAAAGCGCUCUGCUGGACUGCAACUGACACUGAGGGACGAAAGCUAGGGGAGCGAAAGGG
rnacentral:rRNA from 1 species